rnacentral:rRNA from 1 species
CUGACCUCAAAUCAGGCAGGACUACCCGCUGAACUUAAGCAUAUCAAUAAGCGGAGGAAAAGAAACUAACAAGGAUUCCCCUAGUAACUGCGAGUGAAGCGGGAAAAGCUCAAAUU